rnacentral:rRNA from 1 species
UUCGGGGUACUCGAGUGGCGAACGGGUGAGUAACACGUGGGUGAUCUGCCCUGCACUUUGGGAUAAGCCUGGGAAACUGGGUCUAAUACCGAAUAGGACCACGCGCUUCAUGGUGUGUGGUGGAAAGCUUUUGCGGUGUGGGAUGGGCCCGCGGCCUAUCAGCUUGUUGGUGGGGUAAUGGCCUACCAAGGCGACGACGGGUAGCCGGCCUGAGAGGGUGACCGGCCACACUGGGACUGAGAUACGGCCCAGACUCCUACGGGAGGCAGCAGUGGGGAAUAUUGCACAAUGGGCGCAAGCCUGAUGCAGCGACGCCGCGUGAGGGAUGACGGCCUUCGGGUUGUAAACCUCUUUCAAUAGGGACGAAGCGCAAGUGACGGUACCUAUAGAAGAAGCACCGGCCAACUACGUGCCAGCAGCCGCGGUAAUACGUAGGGUGCGAGCGUUGUCCGGAAUUACUGGGCGUAAAGAGCUCGUAGGUGGUUUGUCGCGUUGUUCGUGAAAACUCACAGCUUAACUGUGGGCGUGCGGGCGAUACGGGCAGACUAGAGUACUGCAGGGGAGACUGGAAUUCCUGGUGUAGCGGUGGAAUGCGCAGAUAUCAGGAGGAACACCGGUGGCGAAGGCGGGUCUCUGGGCAGUAACUGACGCUGAGGAGCGAAAGCGUGGGGAGCGAACAGGAUUAGAUACCCUGGUAGUCCACGCCGUAAACGGUGGGUACUAGGUGUGGGUUCCUUCCUUGGGAUCCGUGCCGUAGCUAACGCAUUAAGUACCCCGCCUGGGGAGUACGGCCGCAAGGCUAAAACUCAAAGGAAUUGACGGGGGCCCGCACAAGCGGCGGAGCAUGUGGAUUAAUUCGAUGCAACGCGAAGAACCUUACCUGGGUUUGACAUGCACAGGACGCCGGCAGAGAUGUCGGUUCCCUUGUGGCCUGUGUGCAGGUGGUGCAUGGCUGUCGUCAGCUCGUGUCGUGAGAUGUUGGGUUAAGUCCCGCAACGAGCGCAACCCUUGUCCUAUGUUGCCAGCGGGUUAUGCCGGGGACUCGUAGGAGACUGCCGGGGUCAACUCGGAGGAAGGUGGGGAUGACGUCAAGUCAUCAUGCCCCUUAUGUCCAGGGCUUCACACAUGCUACAAUGGCCGGUACAAAGGGCUGCGAUGCCGUGAGGUGGAGCGAAYCYUUYCAAAGCCGGUCUCAGUUCGGAUCGGGGUCUGCAACUCGACCCCGUGAAGUCGGAGUCGCUAGUAAUCGCAGAUCAGCAACGCUGCGGUGAAUACGUUCCCGGGCCUUGUACACACCGCCCGUCACGUCAUGAAAGUCGGUAACACCCGAAGCCU